rnacentral:tRNA from 1 species
ACCUGGCUGGCUCAGUUGGUGGAGCAUGUGACUCUUGAUCUCGGGAUUGUGAGUUUGAGCCCCAUGUUGGGCA